GGAGGAGUGGCUCAGCGGCUACGGCACAGCAUUGGAAAUGCUGCGUGUGCAAACACUCGCGGGUUCGAGUCCCGCCUCCUCCG
rnacentral:tRNA from 1 species